rnacentral:rRNA from 1 species
GAUGAACGCUGGCGGCGUGCCUAACACAUGCAAGUCGAGCGAGAAGAUUUGGAUUGAUCCUUCGGGUGAGAGAAGAAUUGGAAAGCGGCGGACGGGUGAGUAACGCGUGGGUAACCUGCCCUAUACAGGAGGAUAGCAGUUGGAAACGACUAUUAAUACUCCAUAAGCACACAUUGCCGCAUGGUAGAGUGUGAAAAGAUUUAUCGGUAUAGGAUGGACCCGCGUUUGAUUAGCUAGUUGGUGAGGUAAUGGCUCACCAAGGCGACGAUCAAUAGCCGACCUGAGAGGGUGAUCGGCCACACUGGGACUGAGACACGGCCCAGACUCCUACGGGAGGCAGCAGUGAGGAAUUUUCUGCAAUGGGCGAAAGCCUGACAGAGCAAUACCGCGUGAGGGAUGAAGACUUACUGAGUUGUAAACCUCGGUACCUUAAGGAAGAAGAUCUGACGGUACUAA